AGAGAGACAAUAAUAAAGAAACGGUAACUCUAAAGCAACUCAUAGUGCCAGCUUUUGAGAUAAAAGAUGUAGUGAUGUCUGUGAGAUAAUACAAAGAGGGAUAAAGGGUACUCCCAUAAAGAUUUUGAGAGGGGUAGAUAAAAAUGAUUUGAUUUCCAAAACAUGGAAAUAGAGGAUGAGAACAAAGAGUGUGCCAAGAAAAUGCAAAGCCUGGAACAGAAAAUGUCAGUAAAUCAUGUUGAAUGGUUCAGAUAGG